UCGGAAUUACUGGGCGUAAAGCGUGCGUAGGCGGCUGAUUAAGUUGGGUGUGAAAGCCCCGGGCUCAACCUGGKAACUGCAUCCAAAACUGAUCAGCUAGAGUGCGGAAGAGGAGUGUGGAAUUUCCUGUGUAGCGGUGAAAUGCGUAGAUAUAGGAAGGAACACCAGUGGCGAAGGCGACACUCUGGUCUGACACUGACGCUGAGGUACGAAAGCGUGGGGAGCAAACAGGAUUAGAUACCCUGGUAGUCCACGCCGUAAACGAUGUCUACUAGUCGUCGGGAAUCUUGCAUUCUUGGUGACGAAGCUAACGCGAUAAGUAGACCGCCUGGGGAGUACGGCCGCAAGGUUAAAACUCAAAUGAAUUGACGGGGGCCCGCACAAGCGGUGGAGCAUGUGGUUUAAUUCRAAGCAACGCGAAGAACCUUACCUGGCCUUGACAUCCUGCGAACU
rnacentral:rRNA from 1 species